CCUUGUACACACCGCCCGUCACACCAUGGGAGUUGGUUUCACCCGAAGGUGGUGCGCUAACCCGCAAGGGAGGCAGCCAACCACGGUGGGGUCAGCGACUGGGGUG
rnacentral:rRNA from 1 species